UUGGGGAAUCUUCCGCAAUGGACGAAAGUCUGACGGAGCAACGCCGCGUGAGUGAUGAAGGUCUUCGGAUUGUAAAGCUCUGUUAAUCGGGACGAAAGAGCCUAGUGUGAAUAAUGCUAGGAAGUGACGGUACCGGAAUAGAAAGCCACGGCUAACUACGUGCCAGCAGCCGCGGUAAUACGUAGGUGGCAAGCGUUGUCCGGAAUUAUUGGGCGUAAAGCGCGCGCAGGCGGAUCUGCCAGUCUGUCUUAAAAGUUCGGGGCUUAACCCCGUGAUGGGAUGGAAACUACAGAUCUAGAGUAUCGGAGAGGAAAGUGGAAUUCCUAGUGUAGCGGUGAAAUGCGUAGAUAUUAGGAAGAACUCCAGUGGCGAAGGCGACUUUCUGGACGAAAACUGACGCUGAGGCGCGAAAGCCAGGGGAGCGAACGGGAUUAGAUACCCCGGUAGUCC
rnacentral:rRNA from 1 species